rnacentral:rRNA from 1 species
CAAUAGCGUAUAUUAAAGUUGUUGCGGUUAAAAAGCUCGUAGUUGGAUUUCUGAGGGGAGCGACCGGUCGGCGCCCUAGUGGCGUGUGCACUGUUUUGUCUGCUUCCUUCAUCCUGGUCGAGAUGGUCGCUGUUCUUCAUUGAGUGGCGAUUGGAUCGGCCACAUUUACUGUGAAAAAUUAGAGUGUUUAAAGCAGGCGAUCGCUGUGAAUACAUUAGCAUGGAAUAAUAAGAUAGGACUUUGGUACUAUUUUGUUGGUUUGCGCACCAAGGUAAUGAUUAAUAGGGAUAGUUGGGGGUAUUCAUAUUCAAUUGUCAGAGGUGAAAUUCUUGGAUUUAUGGAAGAUGAACUUAUGCGAAAGCAUUUACCAAGGAUGUUUUCAUUAAUCAAGAACGAAAGUUAGGGGAUCGAAGAUGAUUAGAUACCAU